rnacentral:rRNA from 1 species
AUUGAACGCUGGCGGAAUGCUUUACACAUGCAAGUCGAACGGCAGCACGGACUUCGGUCUGGUGGCGAGUGGCGAACGGGUGAGUAAUGUAUCGGAACGUGCCCAGUCGUGGGGGAUAACGUAGUGAAAAUUACGCUAAUACCGCAUACGAUCUAUGGAUGAAAGCGGGGGAUCGCAAGACCUCGCGCGAUUGGAGCGUCCGAUAUCAGAUUAGGUAGUUGGUGGGGUAAAGGCCCACCAAGCCAACGAUCUGUAGCUGGUCUGAGAGGACGACCAGCAGAACUGGAACUGAGACACGGUCCAGACUCCUACGGGAGGCAGCAGUGGGGAAUUUUGGACAAUGGGCGAAAGCCAGAUCCAGCCAUUCCGCGUGAAGGAUGAAGGCCCUCGGGUUGUAAACUGCUUUUGUACAGAACGAAAAGGUUUCUACUAAUACUAGGAGCUCAUGACGGUACUGUAAGAAUAAGCACCGGCUAACUACGUGCCAGCCGCCGCCGUAA